CAGACACCAAGCGUGCUGCCGCUGGUUCUUUUUACACGUCUUGCCUCUGGCAGUAAGUCACUUCACAGCACGGUAUUACUGUGAAACUUCGCCUCUCUGAUUUUGAAAAUGCAUACCUGAGGAAGCCAAACAUGACGAAAGUAGCAUAAAAAUCUCAUGAAGAGUAGAUGAAACAACUAGGAGACAUUUAAAGAUCCUAUCCAGAACAAAGGAAGAGUGCGGUAAGAAAGGGAAAGAAUCCCAGCAACUCCACACAGAAAGAAAAUGACAAUGAG
rnacentral:lncRNA from 1 species